GCUCCGGCAGUAGGAUAGUUCAGUCAGUAGAGCAUGAGACUCUUAAUCUCAGGUUUGUGGGUUCAAACCUUACAUUGGGCA